rnacentral:snRNA from 1 species
AUCUUUGAGCAGCAGCAGGUAUCAUAGCCAGUGAGUUUUAUCCAAAGUGAUAUUAGUGCUAAUUGAAAACUUUUCCCAAUAUUUGUUAAUUUGCAGUAUAGUUGGUAUUGGCAAUUUUUUGACAGUCUCUGCAGAGA